UACGGGGGGAGCAAGCGUUGUUCGGAUUACUGGGCGUAAAGGGCGCGUAGGCGGCCAGCACAAGUCAGUUGUGAAAUCUCCGGGCUUAACUCGGAAAGGUCAACUGAUACUGUGCGGCUAGAGUGCAGAAGGGGCAACUGGAAUUCUCGGUGUAGCGGUGAAAUGCGUAGAUAUCGAGAGGAACACCUGCGGCGAAGGCGGGUUGCUGGGCUGACACUGACGCUGAUGCGCGAAAGCCAGGGGAGCGAACGGG
rnacentral:rRNA from 1 species